rnacentral:rRNA from 1 species
AAUCAACGCUGGCGGCGUGCCUCAGACAUGCAAGUCGAACGCGAAAGUCCCCUUCGGGGGACAAGUAGAGUGGCGCACGGGUGAGUGACACGUAGGUAAUCUACCUUCGGGUGGGGAAUAACAACCGGGAACGGUUGCUAAUACCGCAUAAUGCAGCGGCACCUAAUGGUGACAGUUGUUAAAGCGGGGGAUCGCAAGACCUCGCGCCUGAAGAGGAGCCUGCGGCGGAUUAGCUAGUUGGCAGGGUAACGGCCUACCAAGGCGACGAUCCGUAGCCGGCCUGAGAGGGCGGUCGGCCACACUGACACUGACAUACGGGUCAGACUCCUACGGGAGGCAGCAGUCGGGAAUUUGGGCAAUGGGCGAAAGCCUGACCCAGCAACGCCGCGUGAAGGAUGAAAUCCCUCGGGAUGUAAACUUCGCAAGAACGGGGAGAAUAAGCCGGUGUGAACACCACCGGCGAUGACGGUACCGUUUGUAAGCUCCGGCUAACUCCGUGCCAGCAGCCGCGGUAAUAC